UACAGAGGGGGCAAGCGUUGUUCGGAAUUACUGGGCGUAAAGGGCGCGUAGGCGGCCUUCUAAGUCGAACGUGAAAUCCCUGGGCUCAACCCAGGAACUGCGUCCGAUACUGGAAGGCUUGAAUCCGGGAGAGGGAUGCGGAAUUCCAGGUGUAGCGGUGAAAUGCGUAGAUAUCUGGAGGAAUACCGGUGGCGAAGGCGGCAUCCUGGACCGACAUUGACGCUGAAAGGCGAAAGCUAGGGGAGCAAACGGG
rnacentral:rRNA from 1 species